rnacentral:sRNA from 1 species
AAAAUCUAAUCUCAAAC